GAAAUCCUCUCUAUAAUAUAAGAAGUCAUCUCCGCUUUCCAGAGAAGCAAAACGCAGGAUCUCUGAGGUAUAUCUCUUUUAAGAUGCAUGUACCUGUUUCACUUUUUAAAAAAUCUUUGCCUUUUGAGGGAGAUGGAGAGAGACAGCACGAUCCAGGGAGGUG